UCACAGGUAGCAGGAUGGAAUAGGGAUUAAGGACAUAUAAAUUAAGGGUAGAGGAGGGCCCAAAGGUGGGAGAUGAGAGUUUAUUACUAUUAUUAUCGUAUCUGUUGAGUGUUUGCUGUGUUUCAAACAUGACUCUAAGCCCUGGGA